rnacentral:rRNA from 1 species
CCUACGGGUGGCAGCAGUGGGGAAUAUUGCACAAUGGGGGAAAGCCUGAUGCAGCAACGCCGCGUGAGGGAAGAAGGAUUUCGGGAUGUAAAGCUCUAUCAGCAGGGAAGAAGAGGACGGUACCUGUAUAAGAAGCCCCGGCUAACUACGGUCCAGCAGCCGCGGUAACACGGAGGGGGCAAGGGUUAUCCGGAUUUACUGGGUGUAAAGGGAGCGUAGACGGCAUAGCAAGUCUGAAGUGAAAGCCCCGGGCUCAACCCUGGGACUGCUUUGGAAACUGGUAAGCUAGAGUGCUGGAGAGGUAGGCGGAAUUCCUGGUGUAGCGGUGAAAUGCGUAGAUAUUAGGAAGAACACCGGUGGCGAAGGCGGCUUACUGGACAGUAACUGACGUUGAGGCUCGAAAGCGUGGGGAGCAAACAGGAUUAGAUACCCCAGUAGUC